CUGGUGCCAGCAGCCGCGGUAAUUCCAGCUCCAAUAGCGUAUAUUAAAGUUGUUGCAGUUAAGAAGCUCGUAGUUGAAUUUCUGCCUUAUCAUUAAUUUCGCUUCCGAACGUAAUUUUAUUGAUUUGGCAUCUUCUGGAUUAUAUAUUAUUUUUAAUAUAUUUUUCCAGUAUUUUACUUUGAGAAAACUAGAGUGUUUCAAACAGGCUUUUGCCUUGAAUACUACAGCAUGGAAUAAUGAAGUAGGACUAUUGGUUCUAUUUUGUUGGUUAUCGAACCAUAGUAAUGGUUAAUAGGAGCAGUUGGGGGCAUUCGUAUUUAACUGUCAGAGGUGAAAUUCUUAGAUUUGUUAAAGACGAACUACUGCGAAAGCAUUUGCCAAGGAUGUUUUCAUUAAUCAAGAACGAAAGUUAGGGGAUCGAAGACGAUCAGAUACCGUCGUAGUCCUAAC
rnacentral:rRNA from 1 species